rfam:Camelus ferus unplaced genomic scaffold scaffold1793, whole genome shotgun sequence.
GGGCAUGUAGCUCAGUGGUACAGCGUGUGCCUAGCAUGCACAAGGUCCUGGGUUCAAUCCCCAGGACUUCCA